GUGGGGAAUAUUGCACAAUGGGGGAAACCCUGAUGCAGCGACGCCGCGUGAGUGAAGAAGUACCUCGGUACGUAAAGCUCUAUCAGCAGGGAAGAAAAUGACGGUACCUGACCAAGAAGCCCCGGCUAACUACGUGCCAGCAGCCGCGGUAAUACGUAGGGGGCAAGCGUUAUCCGGAUUUACUGGGUGUAAAGGGAGCGUAGACGGCAGCGCAAGUCUGGAGUGAAAUCCCGGGGCUCAACCCCGGAACUGCUUUGGAAACUGCGCGGCUCGAGUGCAGGAGGGGCAGGCGGAAUUCCUAGUGUAGCGGUGAAAUGCGUAGAUAUUAGGAGGAACACCAGUGGCGAAGGCGGCCUGCUGGACUGUAACUGACGUUGAGGCUCGAAAGCGUGGGGAGCAAACAGG
rnacentral:rRNA from 1 species